rnacentral:rRNA from 1 species
UACGGAGGGUGCAAGCGUUGUCCGGAAUCAUUGGGCGUAAAGAGUUCGUAGGUGGUAUGUUAAGUCUGGUGUUAAAGCCCGAAGCUCAACUUCGGUUCGGCACUGGAUACUGGCAAACUUGAAUGUGGUAGAGGUAAAGGGAAUUCCUGGUGUAGCGGUGAAAUGCGUAGAUAUCAGGAGGAACAUCGGUGGCGAAAGCGCUUUACUGGGCCAUUAUUGACACUGAGGAACGAAAGCCGGGGUAG